rnacentral:lncRNA from 1 species
GCGGCAGGAGAUAGUGAGGGAUCUGCGAGAUGAUCUGCUGAGGGAGCUCCGAGGUCCUCAGAGUGUUCCCUCCACCGAGCUUGUUCCCUCCUUAGCAGCCGUGACAGAGAUGGUUGCAAAUCUGAAGGAGGAGAUAUUCAACAUUCGAAGCCUAGUUCAAGGUCAAUAUUGGAACAUAAGUGACGUCAAGGACGACACAAGGGAGAUGCGAGAUAGCAUCA